UGGUGGAGUGAUUUGUCUGGUUAAUUCCGUUAACGAACGAGACCUCGACCUGCUAAAUAGUCUGGCGAACCCUUCGGGGUUCGUGCCGACUUCUUAGAGGGACUAUCGGUGUGUAGCCGAUGGAAGUUCGAGGCAAUAACA
rnacentral:rRNA from 1 species